UAAUUAAUUCAGGUUUAACGUAAUGACUUGUCAAAAAUGUCAAAUUUUCUUGGGGGAAAACCUCCAAAUUCAAUACAUUCCUUAACCUUCCACAAACUUUGGGAAAACACUGUACUUGACAAAAACUUGCUGUCAAAAAGUGACAUUUUUAAAGAAACUGUGUUAAAGAAACUGACAUAUUCAGUCUCUUUAUUAAAACAUGUAGUUUUAUGAUGAUGUCUUUUGACUGGCUUUACUAUUUUUUUCCUGUCUGCCUCUGGACUUUCAGCUUAACACCCUCGACUGUGUGUAAAGUGGUGAAUGAGGACACGACAGAGAUGGUGAAGAGGAACAAUUACCUGCGCUGCAAUCAGAUUUGCAAGAAGAAUCUUCAGGAUCCAGUCUGUGUUCAGCAGUGAAGACAUGUAAAGUUCGUGCAGACAGACGGAGAGCGCGGGGCACGACCUCACCCGAGUUUGUCCCGGCCUGUCAGAGACGUUUAAGCCACUGAGCAUCAUCCCUCUGGGAGCCCGGCGCUCGCCCGAGAUGUCUCCUGCUCUCUGGGACUCGUGCAGCGCUUCGAGUCAGACGAGUCCAGCAGUCUGCAGGAGGUGUGGAGGUCUCACUGCCUGCUUCAGAGCCGGGCUUUAUUCCAUCUGAGUCCACUGAGACCUGCUGAGAGCGGACGGGCUUUGGUCUUUCAGGCUGCGGUGAAUUUAUCAGAACAGAGUGGACAGCGAGGAACCGGGUCUCACCCCGGUGCCAGAAACACCUCCUGGGUGCCAAAUGGACUCGAGUCCCACAAAACAAGCACGACUUCUGACAGCAACAUCCAUCCAGAAAGCUGUUUUUAAGAGGGGACCUUUAAGUCGAAAUGUCCUUUAUUUUCUUCUUACACAACCCCAAAGGAUGACAAACUUAGAGAAAUACAACUGAAUACUUCACACAAAACAUACUCGUAUAAUUCACACUAAACAAGAAUAUUAUCGGUUUAAUUGUUUCCCAUAUUGUUUUACUUUUGUAAAGAAUUAUAUAUUGUGCAAAACAACACAUGCAUUCUAAAUGAGGUUUUAAAAAAGUUCUCUUAUUAAUAAAUCUUAUCAUAAUAUUAAAUUGUAUCAUGGAAAAUUUAUUUACCGGUAUAUUGACAAAGAAAAAUGUCAUCAUUUUUAAAUUUUUCAUUUUAAUUGAAAUUUAAUAAAAUAAAUUGGUUUUUUUUUUUUUUUUAAAUGUCACUCUUUUCACCUGCCAUAAAUGCACCUCACGAUCUUAUUCUAAGAUAAGAUCUAAGAUUCUAAGAUAUUUAAUAUUUUUAAUUUAAGGUUAAAAAUGUAUGUAAUACUGUUUGUUUUGCUUUAUAAAAAACACAACUACAUCCAUAAAGCAAAAUUUCUUAAUUCAGCUGGUCUUUUAAGUUAUUAUAUAAAAUUGAAUGUUAUUUUAAGCCUCUUUAAUUUGCAUGUCAGAAGCAUACAUUUACUGGCAAAUGUGUCUGAAGAAGUCUUUUAUUUUAAUUCAAUAUUAUUCAUUUAUGAAAUGGUAUCACCAGUUUGUACAAUAUUUUAAGCAAUUAAAAAAAACGACCAAAAACAGCCCUUUCAGAUGCAUGUG